UACGAAGGGGGCUAGCGUUGCUCGGAAUCACUGGGCGUAAAGCGCACGUAGGCGGAUCUUUAAGUCAGGGGUGAAAUCCCGGAGCUCAACUCCGGAACUGCCUUUGAUACUGAGGAUCUUGAGUUCGAGAGAGGUGAGUGGAACUGCGAGUGUAGAGGUGAAAUUCGUAGAUAUUCGCAAGAACACCAGUGGCGAAGGCGGCUCACUGGCUCGAUACUGACGCUGAGGUGCGAAAGCGUGGGGAGCAAACAGG
rnacentral:rRNA from 1 species